rnacentral:tRNA from 1 species
GCGGCAGUGGCGGAAUUUGGUAGACGCACCAGCUUGAGGGGCUGGCGGGAGCAAUCCCGUGGAGGUUCGAGUCCUCUCUGCCGCACCA